UUUAAGCAGUGAAGAAGACUCUUCGGUUAAUACCCGGAGACGAUGACAUUAGCUGCAGAAUAAGCACCGGCUAACUCUGUGCCAGCAGCCGCGGUAAUACAGAGGGUGCAAGCGUUAAUCGGAAUUACUGGGCGUAAAGGGAGCGUAGGUGGCUCGAUAAGUCAGAUGUGAAAUCCCCGGGCUCAACCUGGGAACUGCAUCUGAUACUGUUGAGCUAGAGUAUGUGAGAGGAAGGUAGAAUUCCAGGUGUAGCGGUGAAAUGCGUAGAGAUCUGGAGGAAUACCGAUGGCGAAGGCAGCCUUCUGGCAUAAUACUGACACUGAGGCUCGAAAGCGUGGGUAGCAAACAGGAUUAGAUACCCUGGUAGUCCACGCCGUAAACGAUGUCUACUAGUCGUUGGGUCCCUUGAGGACUUAGUGACGCAGCUAACGCAAUAAGUAGACCGCCUGGGGAGUACGGCCGCAAGGUUAAAACUCAAAUGAAUUGACGGGGGCCCGCACAAGCGGUGGAGCAUGUGGUUUAAUUCGAUGCAACGCGAAGAACCUUACCUGGUCUUGACAUAUCUAGAAUCCUGCAGAGAUGCGGGAGUGCCUUCGGGAAUUAGAAUACAGGUGCUGCAUGGCUGUCGUCAGCUCGUGUCGUGAGAUGUUGGGUUAAGUCCCGCAACGAGCGCAACCCUUGUCCUUAGUUACCAGCGGGUUAAGCCGGGAACUCUAAGGAUACUGCCAGUGACAAACUGGAGGAAGGCGGGGACGACGUCAAGUCAUCAUGGCCCUUACGACCAGGGCUACACACGUGCU
rnacentral:rRNA from 1 species